UCUGGAAGCCUGUGGUCCAAGGCCAUUUUUGCUGUCUAUAAGUGGGGUCUCCAGAACCAAAGGGUGCACACAUCUCUUCUUAAAAUUGAAGGUGUUUAUGCCUGAGAUGAAACAGAAUUCUAUUUGGGCAAGAGAUGUACUAUGUAUACAAAGCAAAGAACAACACAGUGACUCCUGGCAGCAAACCAAACAAAACCAGAGUAAUCUGGGGAAAGGUAACUCAGGCCCAUGGAAACAGUGGCAUGGUUAGUGCCAUAUUCCGAAGCAAUCUUCCUGCUUAGGCUAUUGGACACAGAAUCCAAGUGACACUGUACCCCUCAAGGAUUUAA
rnacentral:lncRNA from 1 species